CUGUGCACCUUAACUGUGGGUUAAGAAACCCUCUAGAAACCCACUCCAGUGAGGUUUAAUCACCUCCUGCUGACUUGGUAAAGAGGGACAACUCGCAUUCUGAGCCUCGGAAGGUAAGCCAUGUUCUCUGCCAUUCUCCCAUCAUCCUCCAGCCUUGGGGCCCGGUUCCCCCGCCCACCUACCCUGACCAAGCCCCAAGUGUCUGCUGCACUCAUUCCCGUAACUCUUACCCACUGCUUCUCACCACCCAGCCUCCACCCCUGUGGAGUUGUGUGUUCUCUUUCUACCAGACAUUUCACUGGAACUACACAAUCUCUUCUCAACGACCUCCUCCUCUGCCCAGGUCCUAGCCCAGUGCUGAGCAACACGGACUGUGUGUUAGAGAGAUUACAGCCUUCUGUGAAUCUCCAAGACUGAUAGUGCCUUAAAGAUAAGUAUCUGUGUCCAUUAAACGUGGGCACUGCAGGGCUCGCACUGUGGCUCUCAAGACACUGAGCGAGCCCAGGCCCCCUCUACCUUGUUGCUCGGCCGGGCUCAGCAUAAGGCUUCUCACUCUUGCCUUAAGGCAUCUGCCCUGGAUAGGCCACCUGAGUCUGCAUUCCAGCUGCAGGAAACCAGAAAGCAGCUUGCGGUCCUUAUGAUACUUCCCAGAAUUUGAACACAGUGCUUGCACUCAUAUUCCCACUGAUUAGAACUGGCCAUGAGUCCCUGCACGAGUUCCCAACAUGUUCCAAGUGAUCAGAUAAGGCUUGGGGAUUCCACGACUCCAGAAGAGAUCAUGGAUACUGGGGGGCAGCCAGGAAGGUCAGACCCAGCAGCCAACGUUUCUUUUCACUUGAUCCUGACUCUUCUCCUUCCCCUCAACCUCCAACCCUGUGUCUCACUCCUCACGAGGUUCAGGAGCCAGGGCAGCUUCUCCCCCACUUUGUGACCAGCCCGAUUCCCUACCCGACUCCUCAGGAGAAUCCAUCUUCAUUGUUAUGAAUAUCGAUUUUGAGAAGAACUCUCCAGGGACUUGUUGUCCACCAACUCGGAACACUUGGCAUUUGUGGGAACGUGUACACAGAUGGCCCACCAUUGAUUUACCAUCCAAUUUUCAUAUUGUGAAGCAAAAAACGUUUUCUGCUCUGUUAGUCUGUCAGCUGCUGCAGGCAGGCGACAAGGAAAGGUUCCCCCACUUCCCAAUCAGACAGUUUGGUGGCUCUGAGGAUCACCAGCUGCUCAGACUCAGAAAGGGUGGGCACACGGAGAGGAAGGUCCUGACCACGCCUCUGUCAAGGGGUUCGGUCGCCUGUGUCCACUCGACUCAAGCAGGAAAGGAAUUUAAUAAGUGACAACAGGAAGCUCCCCAGCUCGCUGGGAGUCUCUGUAGCCGGGAAUCCUGUCUCAGUUACACUGUGGAGCUCUGCAGUGUUAACCUGAGCACUGGAUUCCAGCACUUUGGUCCCAGCUGUCUCUGGAGACAAGUCACGAUGCCCCUAUCAUCAGCACAGAGUCGUCACUAACCCUGCUUCUCUGCAUCACCAGCUUUCAGGGAAGCCUCCAUGUGCUGACUGGCCAAGCCCUGAUCAGGUCCUUUAUUUUCUAUUCUCUCAGAUUGGGCAGAGAUCACAGCUAUUCUGUUCCACGGUCUCCACUGUCAGCACGGAGCCUGGAUUAAGGCCAGGUGCCAGGGAACGCUCAGGAAAUAUUUGAUGAAAAAGGACACAGAAGAGCUAAUGAAGAUGAGGAGUUGAGCUCCAGGAUUCCCAAUUCUCACCUGACUCGAUGAGAAUUUUAAGACUUGCAGGACCAGGACGUGUAGAUCCAAAAGGGAAGCAACUUGGAAAGAUCUGGAAGCUGGACGAAAUAACCAACCCUCUUGUUUCCGCUUAUGUUUAGACUUCAAUCCAACCAUCCAUCCCCCAGGAGACAUUCAUCAGCUUUUCUGGAAGAAAAAGUUGCCUCCUGCUUACUGUCGGAUAUCCUCAAAGUGCCA